CGCUAUUCUCAGGGCAGGGUGAAAUUCCCUACCGGUGGUUACAGCCCACGAGCGGCCUUUGCCCUUGGCACAGGUGUCAGCAGACCCGGCGAGAUUCCGGGGCCGACGGUCACAGUCCGGAUGAAAGAGAAUGGAG
rfam:Alphaproteobacteria bacterium MedPE-SWcel Alphaproteobacteria-MedPE-SWcel-C16, whole genome shotgun sequence.